rnacentral:rRNA from 1 species
ACUAAAAUAGUGGCAUGCUAACUACACGAAACUAUGUGAGUUAAUUUUGGUUAGUUGUCAUGUAGCAGAAUGACAAGGUGAAGGAAAAUUAGGGGUGAUAGGCCUCUCAAACAUAGUGAUAUCUUGAUUCCUCUUAAAUGUAUUAGUACAUUAACGGAUUUAAAGCUAUAAGGUUUUAAAUGAUAAUAAAUGUUAAAUAAUAUUUUGUAAGAUAUAAAAGUCUAUUCACCACCAAUAUUAAAAUAUUAAUUAUAUUAUUGUUAAUUUAAAGAGGACAUAUGGUAAUUUAAUAAAUAUUAAUAAUGUUAACAUAAGUAUUAAGGAGAUGUUAAUAGUGAACUCGGCAUUAAGUUCUCAACUGUUUAUCAAAAACAUAGCUGCGUGUAAUUACACGCAGUGUUUUCUGCUCAAUGAAUAUUAAAUAGCCGCAGUACCUUGACUGUGCAAAGGUAGCGUAAUCAUUUGUCUUUUAAUUGGAGUCGUGUAUGAAUGAAUAUAUGGGGACUUUCUUUACCAUUAGCAACACAUAAAAUUACUUAAUGAGUGAAAAAACUCAUAUUUAAAUAAUAGACGAGAAGACCCUAGAAAUUUAUAGCGAAUUUUUGUUGGGGCAACAUAGUAACAUGAAAUUUACUUUAUGAAUAUGAAAUUUUUUUUGAUAACUUAAAUUACUCUAGGGAUAACAGCAUAAUAUUUACAUGUUUGUGACCUCGAUGUUGGAUUAGGGAGUUAUAGUUUAGAAGACUACUAACCUUGCUCUGUUCGCGC